rnacentral:rRNA from 1 species
CGUGCCAGCAGCCGCGGUAAUACGAAGGGGGCUAGCGUUGCUCGGAAUUACUGGGCGUAAAGGGCGCGUAGGCGGACAGUUCAGUCGGGGGUGAAAGCCCGGGGCUCAACCUCGGAAUUGCCUUCGAUACUGGCUGUCUUGAGUAUGAGAGAGGUGUGUGGAACUCCGAGUGUAGAGGUGAAAUUCGUAGAUAUUCGGAAGAACACCAGUGGCGAAGGCGACACACUGGCUCAUUACUGACGCUGAGGCGCGAAAGCGUGGGGAGCAAACAGGAUUAGAUACCCUGGUAGUCCACGCCGUAAACGAUG